rnacentral:rRNA from 1 species
UACCAGCACCCCGAGUGGUCGGGACGUUUAUUGGGCCUAAAGCAUCCGUAGCCGGUUCUACAAGUCUUCCGUUAAAUCCAACUGCUUAACAGAUGGGCUGCGGAGGAUACUAUAGAGCUAGGAGGCGGGAGGGGCAAGCGGUACUUAGUGGGUAGGGGUAAAAUCCGUUGAUCCAUUGAAGACCACCAGUGGCGAAGGCGGCUUGCCAGAACGCACUCGACGGUGAGGGAUGAAAGCUGGGGGAGCAAACCGG